AAGACUGCAGCCAGAGAAAGGGAUGAGAAAUCAAUGCCUAAGUCUCUCCACUUGGGGGGGGGGGGUCAGCAGCAGAAUGAGGGUUGGGGUAGAGUAGCGGGACCUCACCAGCCCCCCCAGAACAUAUACACUCCUGUACACAGGCAGCCACAGGAGGUCAGCUGCUUACAGAAGAGGGAGGCCGGUCCAGGGUGGGAGCAGAGGGUACCCUCUAUGUCAGCACACUGGGGACCCUAAGACAGAGAAGAGGUUGGGGAGACUUCUCCAAGCCUAGGGGCUUUUCCGUCAGAUUUCCGAGAGUUGUUGGGCACCCCACCUAGCACACAGUGGGGGGCUGACUCCUUGCCCAGCAGCAGCCUGACAGCCGUGCCCAGUUAGGCGCGUAGGGGACUCAGCCAAGCCCAUGUUCCGGCCCCCGCCCCCAGCAGACACACAUCUGGCUAGCAGCUUCCAAGCCUCGUGGGUAGCACCCGGUCCCAGACAUGCUCAGCAGAGCAAGGUCGGCCAGUCUGCUCCUCCGCCUCCACUCACCCCAAAAGGCUUCCACAACCCCACGCAGCACAAGACCCGGGGACACCCCACCCAACGGCACCAGCUCGCACCCCGCACCCCAAUCUCCGCCCGCCUCCACGGGGGCACCAGCUGAGCGGGCCCCGCCCCCCAGCCUGUCCCUCCGGUGUUGGGGGAGCAGGCGGGUUCUCCCCCAAACCACGGAGCGGCUCAGGUAACCGGAGGGAGAGGAGGAGGGGCCGGUCCGGUGGGCAUCUGAUCUCUCCCCAAACAGCACCCCUACCCCAAGGGCCUUGUAGCCUGAGCCCCACCAAUGGCAGGCCCCAGGAGGAGGCUCACCACCUGCCACCUCCUACCCCCACCGGCUCCACCCAGUUUAGAUGCUGCAGGACAGAGGCUGGGGAAGAGCUGGCGGCUGAUUUCUCCAGACAAGGAUCCUUCUCAACAGAGGAAGCCAGGUGCAAUGGUGCCCACCUGGAAGCCCAUUACUGAGGGAGGCCAAGGCAGGAGGGACGAAAGUUUGAGACUAAUCUGGGCAACUUUUCGAGAUCCCGUCUCCAAAUCAAAAAUAAAAAGUUUCGCCACCUGCUGCACAAGCUCAAGGACCCAAGUUCAAUCCCCGACAAGGUCUCACUAUGCAAUUCGGGCUGGCUUUGAACUCACUGUGUAGCCCAGGUUGAAACUGAACUCAUGGAGAUCCUCCUGCCUCAGACCCCCAAGCACUGGGAUUACAGGCGCCCCCUGGUGAAGACAGGCGGGCUUUAGCAUCCCCACGGGGCUGGGCCCGCUCCUGCCCCUCUCCACUGCCCACCCCCAUCUCGCCGGACCCUGCUCCCGUGGCAACAAGCUGGUGAGACCCCUGGGCCGCUCUGCCCCCUGCCCACCACUCACCACCCCCUCUCCUACCUGCCCCACCUCCUCCUGCCACCCAGGUUGUACCGGGGCGCGAGUCUCCUUUAACGUGUCCUGGCAGCACCCCUGCCCCGGCCCCACGCCCCACGUACACACACAUGCGCUCACACACGCUUCUGCCAGCCGCACGCUGCCAGCAGCUGCCAGAGCUGUUGAGCAGGAGGGAGCCCGGGAGGGUGGGGUGCAGGGAUUGGGUUUCCAGCUCCGAGGGGGUGGGCCGUCACCCAAUCCCUUCUCCCUCCCGCGGCCUCCCUCCAGCCUCUGGCAGGCAGCCCACUACCCUUGGAGCCCGGCCCCCACCCCCAGUCCACCUAGUGUAGGAAGUAAGCGUUGGAGAGUAUUUGUCAUGCGGAGACCAGCCCAGGAGAGGAGAGAAGCAGCAAGGCGGAGACAGACAGACAGACAGACAAACAGACGGGAUUCCUGUGCUCUGUGCUCCAGCUGCAACCAACCACUAGCACCCACCCCUGCCUCCAGGCCUCAGAGAAGGGAUCCCUUUGGACCAGGAAUCAGAAGCCCAGAGCCUGAGCUGGCCGAGGUAAACCACACCUGUGAUCCCAGCACUGAGGAGGCUGAGGCAAGAGGAUCACCACAAGUUUGAGGCCAGUUUACCCUACAUAGUGAGUUGAAGCCCAGCCUG
rnacentral:lncRNA from 1 species